rnacentral:tRNA from 2 species
GGGUCUGUAGCUCAGCUGGUUAGAGCACUGCCUUGAUAAGGCAGGGGUCGUUGGUUCGAGUCCAACCAGACCCACCA